AAGGUCCAGCCUCAUAUGUCCUGUGAUCCUGAGGGGGAGAUAUGUGGUCAGACCUGUC
rnacentral:pre_miRNA from 2 species